UUUUUUAGUUAGUGGCAAACGGGUGAGUAACACGUGGGAAUCUGCCCAUCAGUACGGAAUAACUUUUGGAAACAAAAGCUAAUACCGUAUAUUCUCUUCGGAGGAAAGAUUUAUCGCUGAUGGAUGAGCCCGCGUUAGAUUAGGUAGUUGGUAGGGUAAUGGCCUACCAAGCCGAUGAUCUAUAGCUGAUCUGAGAGGAUGAUCAGCCACACUGGGACUGAGACACGGCCCAGACUCC
rnacentral:rRNA from 1 species